rnacentral:tRNA from 1 species
GGAGAGAUGGCUGAGUGGCUGAAAGCGGCCGCCUCGAAAGCGGUUAUUCCGGCUUUAACUGGAAUCGAGGGUUCAAAUCCCUCUCUCUCCACCA